rnacentral:rRNA from 1 species
GGGUUGUGAGGUUAAGCGAACAAGCGUACACGGUGGAUGCCCUGGCAGUCAGAGGCGAUGAAGGACGUGCUAAUCUGCGAAAAGCGCCGGUAAGGUGAUAUGAACCGUUAUAACCGGCGAUGUCCGAAUGGGGAAACCCGGUGCACUUCGGUGCAUCAUCGUUAGCUGAAUACAUAGGCUAACGAGGCGAACCGGGGGAACUGAAACAUCUAAGUACCCCGAGGAAAAGAAAUCAACCGAGAUUCCCCCAGUAGCGGCGAGCGAACGGGGAACAGCCCAGAGCCUGAAUCAGCUUGUGUGUCAGUGGAACGGUCUGGAAAGGCCGGCGAUACAGGGUGACAGCCCCGUACACGAAGGCACACAGGCUGUGAGCUCGAUGAGUAGGGCGGGACACGUGAUAUCCUGUCUGAAGAUGGGGGGACCAUCCUCCAAGGCUAAAUACUCCUGACUGACCGAUAGUGAACCAGUACCGUGAGGGAAAGGCGAAAAGAACCCCGGCGAGGGGAGUGAAACAGAACCUGAAACCGUGUACGUACAAGCAGUGGGAGCCUUCGUAAGAGGGUGACUGCGUACCUUUUGUAUAAUGGGUCAGCGACUUAUAUUCUGUAGCAAGGUUAACCGUAUAGGGGAGCCGAAGGGAAACCGAGUCUUAAUUGGGCGUUAAGUUGCAGGGUAUAGACCCGAAACCCGGUGAUCUAGCCAUGGGCAGGUUGAAGGUUGGGUAACACUAACUGGAGGACCGAACCGACUAAUGUUGAAAAAUUAGCGGAUGACCUGUGGCUGGGGGUGAAAGGCCAAUCAAACCGGGAGAUAGCUGGUUCUCCCCGAAAGCUAUUUAGGUAGCGCCUCGUGAACUCAUCUCCGGGGGUAGAGCACUGUUUCGGCUAGGGGGCCAUCCCGGCUUACCAACCCGAUGCAAACUGCGAAUACCGGAGAAUGUUAUCACGGGAGACACACGGCGGGUGCUAACGUCCGUCGUGAAGAGGGAAACAACCCAGACCGCCAGCUAAGGUCCCAAAGUCAUGGUUAAGUGGGAAACGAUGUGGGAAGGCCCAGACAGCCAGGAUGUUGGCUUAGAAGCAGCCAUCAUUUAAAGAAAGCGUAAUAGCUCACUGGUCGAGUCGGCCUGCGCGGAAGAUGUAACGGGGCUAAACCAUGCACCGAAGCUGCGGCAGCGACGCUUAUGCGUUGUUGGGUAGGGGAGCGUUCUGUAAGCCUGUGAAGGUGUGCUGUGAGGCAUGCUGGAGGUAUCAGAAGUGCGAAUGCUGACAUAAGUAACGAUAAAGCGGGUGAAAAGCCCGCUCGCCGGAAGACCAAGGGUUCCUGUCCAACGUUAAUCGGGGCAGGGUGAGUCGACCCCUAAGGCGAGGCCGAAAGGCGUAGUCGAUGGGAAACAGGUUAAUAUUCCUGUACUUGGUGUUACUGCGAAGGGGGGACGGAGAAGGCUAUGUCGGCCGGGCGACGGUUGUCCCGGUUUAAGCGUGUAGGCUGACUUUCCAGGCAAAUCCGGAAAGUUAAGGCUGAGGCGUGAUGACGAGGCACCACGGUGCUGAAGUGACAAAUGCCCUGCUUCCAGGAAAAGCCUCUAAGCAUCAGGUAACAUCAAAUCGUACCCCAAACCGACACAGGUGGUCAGGUAGAGAAUACCAAGGCGCUUGAGAGAACUCGGGUGAAGGAACUAGGCAAAAUGGUGCCGUAACUUCGGGAGAAGGCACGCUGACAUGUAGGUGAAGCCCCUGCGGGUGGAGCUGAAGUCAGUCGAAGAUACCAGCUGGCUGCAACUGUUUAUUAAAAACACAGCACUGUGCAAACACGAAAGUGGACGUAUACGGUGUGACGCCUGCCCGGUGCCGGAAGGUUAAUUGAUGGGGUUAUCGCAAGAGAAGCUCCUGAUCGAAGCCCCGGUAAACGGCGGCCGUAACUAUAACGGUCCUAAGGUAGCGAAAUUCCUUGUCGGGUAAGUUCCGACCUGCACGAAUGGCGUAAUGAUGGCCAGGCUGUCUCCACCCGAGACUCAGUGAAAUUGAACUCGCUGUGAAGAUGCAGUGUACCCGCGGCAAGACGGAAAGACCCCGUGAACCUUUACUACAGCUUGACACUGAACAUUGAGCCUUGAUGUGUAGGAUAGGUGGGAGGCUUUGAAGCGUGGACGCCAGUCUGCGUGGAGCCGACCUUGAAAUACCACCCUUUAAUGUUUGAUGUUCUAACCUGGCGCCGUAAUCCGGCGUGGGGACAGUGUCUGGUGGGUAGUUUGACUGGGGCGGUCUCCUCCCAAAGUGUAACGGAGGAGCACGAAGGUCAGCUAAUCCUGGUCGGACAUCAGGAGGUUAGUGCAAUGGCAUAAGCUGGCUUGACUGCGAGAGUGACGGCUCGAGCAGGUGCGAAAGCAGGUCAUAGUGAUCCGGUGGUUCUGUAUGGAAGGGCCAUCGCUCAACGGAUAAAAGGUACUCCGGGGAUAACAGGCUGAUACCGCCCAAGAGUUCAUAUCGACGGCGGUGUUUGGCACCUCGAUGUCGGCUCAUCACAUCCUGGGGCUGAAGUAGGUCCCAAGGGUAUGGCUGUUCGCCAUUUAAAGUGGUACGCGAGCUGGGUUUAGAACGUCGUGAGACAGUUCGGUCCCUAUCUGCCGUGGGCGCUGGAGAAUUGAGGGGGGCUGCUCCCAGUACGAGAGGACCGGAGUGGACGCAUCACUGGUGUUCGGGUUGUCAUGCCAAUGGCACUGCCCGGUAGCUAAAUGCGGAAGAGAUAAGUGCUGAAAGCAUCUAAGCACGAAACUUGCCCCGAGAUGAGUUCUCCCUGAGACUAUAAGUCUCCUGAAGGAACGUUGAAGACGACGACGUUGAUAGGCCGGGUGUGUAAGCGCAGCGAUGCGUUGAGCUAACCGGUACUAAUGAACCGUGAGGCUUAACCUUACAACGCCAAAGAAGU